CCUACGGGGGGCUGCAGUGGGGAAUAUUGGGCAAUGGGCGCAAGCCUGACCCAGCAACGCCGCGUGAAGGAAGAAGGCUUUCGGGUUGUAAACUUCUUUUCUCAGGGACGAAGAAAGUGACGGUACCGGAGGAAUAAGCCACGGCUAACUCCGGGCCAGCAGCCGCGGUAAGACGGAGGUGGCAAGCGUUAUCCGGAGUGAGUGGGUGUAAAGGGCGAGGAGGCGGGCGCGCAAGUCAGAUGUGAAAACUCCUGGAUCAACCCUGAGCCUGCAUUUGAAACUGUGUUUCUUGAGUGCUGGGGAGGCAAUCGGAAUUCCGUGUGUAGCGGUGAAAUGCGUAGAUCUUCGGAGGAACCCCAGUGGCGAAGGCGGCUUGCUGGACAGUAACUGCCGCUGAGGCGCGAAAGCGUGGGGAGCAAACAGGAUUAGAUACCCGGGUAGUC
rnacentral:rRNA from 1 species